rnacentral:lncRNA from 1 species
ACGGCCUGGCGCGACCUGGGUGGUCCCGGGCUGCGCGAUCUGCUGCGACCUGAGUUAUUGUGCCGGCCCUGUUUGUCAGAGCCCAGGGAAGAGCAGGAACAACGAAAUAUUCUGGGGCCGGAUAGUUGAUAGCUGUCUUUUAUUUAAAAUAAUUUUCACACGGAGGACUUAAGUACUUCAGAAAAACACAUCUAAGGGAAGCCAACCUAGACUUCUCGAGGUGAAUGUUCCUUGGAGAUGAAGAAUAGCUCAGACCUGAGAAUCCAGAGGACAUGGCUGGAAUUUGGCCAAUGACAAUCCUGUGGAUGGGACAAAGUCAACCCUCACCUCUCAUUUCUUUGAGCUCAUUGUUUAGCUUCCUAACAGUGGUGACAAAGAAAAAGCACAAAUUAUAUUGCGUGGUGGAAAGGAAUAAAGGCAUGAAGCUAGCAACUAUCUACAGUAUGGAAGGGAAAACAGAGAAAGAGUAAAAGGAGAGUGGAGGAGGAGGAAAGAACAAGAGAGAAAAGAGGAAAAGGAGAAAGAGAAAAGGGCCCAUGGUAAGGAUGCAAUUUUUAUUUGUCCACCAGAGGGCGGUAUGUCAACUGAUGAGAAUAGAGGCCAGAAUGAAAGAUUUUUAUUGACUAUCUACAGGUGUUACUUUUUAAAUGAAGUAUUCUAUUAUAAUUCAUUUUUAAAGUGUGUUUAUGGUGAAUUAUUAUUUUGUAAACAUUCCUCACUUUAUAAAAUGGCUCAGUACAUUUCAAAGUACAAAAACAUUUGUAAAUGGG